CUGCUUGAAAAUUUUCAAUUGCAAUGGGGAGGGGAGUUUGAUUGAGUUGAUCAACCACUUAUCUCAUCCCAUCUAAAAGACUGGAAGCCAGAAGCACCCAAAGAAACCUGAAGCUAAAUGAAUCCCAAAGAAGAUUGGUCCAGAAGAGUCAUGAAAGUGGACUGCCUCUCUUCAAUGGAACUUUUGGGGAUUGGAAGACAAGCCGGAAUCACCUGGGACCUUAAGGAGAGAAGAAGCCAUUGGAUGAGGCAUUUGAAGUCUACUGAGGACUUUGAAUUCCUAUCAAUCAUGUUUGCCACCCUGGAGAGCCUUGGGGAGCUUUCUCUUUCCCCACAUGUCUUUAUCUUUGCGAAGAGAGGGAGCUCUUUAUUUAUAAGCCUCAAAGGUUUGUGCUUAGAGAACUGUUCUGUCAAUGCUGAAGAUUGGGGGAAGGAGAGGGUUAUGAAAUUAUAACAAUUCCCUUCCCAGGCUUGGUGCAUCAUGUGUGAGAUAUGACUCCUGAUUGCUUGAGAGACCUCUGAACCCUCAGUGCUGAUGCUGGGAAUGGUGGGCGUAGGAGGGGAGACAUGGUGAUAAAUGGAGGUAGACUGCAAAGUAGGAAUUCUG